UUGUAGAAAACAAUGUUAUGUUAAUAAACAAAUGUUUAUUUCUUUAACAUUGUCAGCUGUGUGUCUGUAUGUGACACCCGCACACAGAGCUGGGCCGCCUGGGUACCCUGUACCUGGGCUGGGAGCAAGGACGGGGUGGCCAUGGCCACUUAGCCCCGGGGGCUGCCCUUCAGCGAGGCCCAUGCGUGUUCUGCAGCUGGGUCUGAGGGGGUCGGAGCAGGCCCUGUACUGGCCACUGGGCCUGGAGUUCCUCCUGCCCACAGCGGGCAGAGCCCUGAAAUCCUGCAAGCACGAGGCCGCAGGGAUUAGCUGCGGAUCCUCCAAAAGGCUGACAUGUGAGCGACAGCCCAUAUUAAGACAACAGCAGCUGAAGCAUCAGUAAAGUCAACAUCGCUAUAUGGCACUACGAAAUCUGCUGUUUGAUAUGCAGGUUACCCCUCCAAGAAAUGCCUUAGGAAAAUGCAGCCACUUCUGAAGGGGACUAGGUGGGUGGGCUUCAGAAAAACGCUUCUCCCCAUGAUGUCCAGUAGGAGAAUCCCUUUCAAAAACAGCGAGAUGGAUGGGCUGUCAUCAACCCGCUUCAUACCCUGCUUUGCAGGACACUCAUAAAAUGGGCAAAGGAUGGUUCUGGUUUGUUCAACGCAAGAUCAAAAUGCACAAAAUAUGAUUGACAAGAAGAAAUAGGAAGUGUAGUAAACUACUUGAAACAGACAGUUCUGGAAGUGCUGACUACUGAAUAACUCGGUCACGUGUAACUUCCAGUUGCUGAAAGACUAACCACUGCUUUAAAACAAUUGAAAUCCCUAUAUAUUGUGACUGUAAGCUUUUAAUUAAUUUGCUAUAUUACACGUAUCAACGGUUAGACAGAACUGGAGCUUAACAGCAAUUUAUCUUCAAUCUGGUUUGGAAGCCAACAUAAAUAUUUCUUCAUUUCACCCUGCUUUUGACUCACUACGGUAUGCAGAAGCAAAAGGGCCAAAGCCAUUGCUGACGUUAACGUCACAAAAGGCGUAACCUCCUUUACAUCAGUGGCACCGACUCCCCUUGUGCCAGCAGCAAGCCAUGGUGGAGCAGGAGCCGCUGCUUUGUGCUGACAGCUCCCUCCUGCCAGGCAAGGCUCCCCCUGGGCUCUUCAUCCUCCAUGAAUGGGAUGCUCACCAAGGCUAUCAGCAGCGCAAUCAGACAGGGAGGGUUUUUUUGU